UGUAUAUGUAUUUAAGUCAAAAUCCUCCAGUUUUAAAAAAAUUACAUCAUGUUGUAAUUCUACACUAGAGCAUGAUUCCAUCCUAGAAUAGGACCACUCCAUGUCCUUCUUUACACUAGUGUUUGCACUAGAAAGGUGAUCGAGUGUUUGUUAAAAUAGCAAGACAUAAUAUCCAGUACUCACGGCCUCUCCCCUCUCCUUGCUAACAACACGCUUUUCCUCCAUGUCACACUUGUUGCCAAGGAUCAUCUUCUCCACAUCUUCAUUGGCGUGCUGCACAGGACAACAACAGGUUUACAAUUCAAGUAUAAUGUUAUGAAAAGUCAAUAAACAAGGUCAACAACAUGUUUUCCGGAUGUAACAAAGACUUUACAAUUUCAGAGUCUGGUAAAAAUUUUAUGCAUUCAUAAUCAAUAUAAGUAUCUUAUUCUAACAUGCUAAUUUGAACAGUUACUUCAAUAACUCUUCCUUGGGACAAAUUUAAGAUGAAUAAAUGUAUGAGCACAAAAAUAAAAUAUUAUUCAAAUAAUGGAAGAAUACCAAGCUAUUUACUAAGCCAUUAAAAAGCUAAUAAUAUGCUUCAGUUACAUUUUACAAGAUUUUAACUACAAAAUCCAUUAAGUAUAACAAUUGGUAAAUAAACUAAUAAUGGUCUAAAUACAUGAUGUCAUAAUAACAAUCAUAUUCUCAAAACUAUGGAGAGGGAAACAUUGAGACAAAAAAUAUGAGUAAUGUGAUAAGAGAAUCAACUGAGCAGGAAAUAAGGGUGGAUAUUGUAAUUCUUUUUUAUAUAUCACAGAGUUCUCAUAACAGGCUAUGUAACACUGUAAAACAUGAAUUUGAGUAAGUAUCAAUUACAUCUUCAAAUAUAAAGGUAAUAUGGAUAGGAACAAUCAAACAAAUAUAUACACAAACUCAUAUAGUAAAUAAGGUAUAGUUGUGUGGGCUCACAGACUGAUAGAUCUUCAUGAGUUGUUUAUACAGAGUAUCUCACUGACCUCGUCUAUAUUUCUUAACCACUUGACAAUAUCAUCAAAUGUCUUCUCAUUAGUUAUAUCAUACACCAGCAUGAUGCCCAUCGCGCCACGGUAAUAAGAUGUGGUGAUGGUGUGAAAGCGCUCCUGGCCAGCCGUGUCCCAGAUUUGGAGCUUUAUUUUUUUACCUCGAAGCUCCACCGUCUUUAUUUUGAAGUCUAUUCCUGAAGUCAGAAGAAAAUAGAACCCAAUUUAUCACCAAAAGCAAUUAUGGGUGUAGUCAUAAACAGAUUACAUUAUUGCAAACAAUGAUAAACUAAAAGAGAUUAAACUUUAAUCUACGAGGGUAAGCUCAAGAAAACGAAAUCCUAAUAAAUACAAAGGUGGGUCUUACCGAUAGUGGAUAUAAAUGUCGUUGUAAAGUGGUUGUCUGAAAACCUAAAUAAUAUGCAAGUCUUUCCCACGCCAGAAUCACCAAUAAGGAGUAGCUUGAAUAACAAAUCGUAAGUCUUCUUAGCCAUUUUAAUAAUUAUUUUACAAAUAUGAGUUACUAAAGGCUAAAUGCUCCAAA